CACUGUCCUUGACUUUAUACCUGUCCAAACAACCACCCAGGUGGUAGUAAAUCACUGUCCUUGACUUUAUACCUGUUCAAACAACCCUCCAGGUGGUAAUAAAUCACUGUCCUUGACUUUAUACCUGUUCAAACAACCCUCCAGGUGGUAGUAAAUCACUGUCCUUGACUUUAUACCUGUUCAAACAACCCUCCAGGUGGUAGUAAAUCACUGUCCUUGACUUUAUACCUGUUCAAACAACCCUCCAGGUGGUAGUAAAUCACUGUCCUUGACUUUAUACCUGUUCAAACAACCCUCCAGGUGGAUGUAAAUCACUGUCCUUGACUUUAUACCUGUUCAAACAACCCUCCAGGUGGUAGUAAAUCACUGUCCUUGACUUUAUACCUGUUCAAACAACCCUCCAGGUGGUAGUAAAUCACUGUCCUUGACUUUAUACCUGUUCAAACAACCCUCCAGGUGGCUGUAAAUCACUGUCCUUGACUUUAUACCUGUUCAAACAACCCUCCAGGUGGCUGUAAAUCACUGUCCUUGACUUUAUACCUGUUCAAACAACCCUCCAGGUGGUAGUAAAUCACUGUCCUUGACUUUAUACCUGUUCAAACAACCCUCCAGGUGGUAGUAAAUCACUGUCCUUGACUUUAUACCUGUUCAAACAACCCUCCAGGUGGCUGUAAAUCACUGUCCUUGACUUUAUACCUGUUCAAACAACCCUCCAGGUGGCUGUAAAUCACUGUCCUUGACUUUAUACCUGUUCAAACAACCCUCCAGGUGGUAGUAAAUCACUGUCCUUGACUUUAUACCUGUUCAAACAACCCUCCAGGUGGCUGUAAAUCACUGUCCUUGACUUUAUACCUGUUCAAACAACCCUCCAGGUGGUAGUAAAUCACUGUCCUUGACUUUAUACCUGUCCAAACAACCCUCCAGGUGGUAGUAAAUCACUGUCCUUGACUUUAUACCUGUUCAAACAACCCUCCAGGUGGUAGUAAAUCACUGUCCUUGACUUUAUACCUGUUCAAACAACCCUCCAGGUGGAUGUAAAUCACUGUCCUUGACUUUAUACCUGUUCAAACAACCCUCCAGGUGGCUGUAAAUCACUGUCCUUGACUUUAUACCUGUUCAAACAACCCUCCAGGUGGUAGUAAAUCACUGUCCUUGACUUUAUACCUGUUCAAACAACCCUCCAGGUGGCUGUAAAUCACUGUCCUUGACUUUAUACCUGUUCAAACAACCCUCCAGGUGGUAGUAAAUCACUGUCCUUGACUUUAUACCUGUCCAAACAACCCUCCAGGUGGUAGUAAAUCACUGUCCUUGACU